AGGAAAAAAAAAUCACAAAAAGAUCCAGCAGGGAAAAAUCUAUAAAAAUCUUUUUUCUAAAGAAUUUGUAAAAUCUAUAGAACGAUGAUAUCUGCAAUUCCUUAACAAUCUGCGAACAAAAUCUGCAAGUACCUAUAGAAAUCAGAUCUCCGUUCAAGAUUUGAUUCCUUCACGGAGCUUCAUCACAUCGAUGCUUCAUUAAUCACCGCGUAAAAAAUCGCUACGUGGCAAGAAAGCAUAGCCGAAAUUACGUAUAGCUUUAAUUCUCGGUAGCGUUUCCUUUCGAUUCUUUCGUCGCGCAUAUCCGAUACAUGCCGACUAAAUACGCGCCAUGUCGCUCGAGAAUCACGCUUACUAUAAAUUCUCAUUUAUCGCUUGAUAGCGGUAGAGAGAACGCGAAUAGAAUACAUUAAUUACGCAUUUAAGACCGUUGCUGCUUAGGUACUUUCAUAGUGGGAUGUUCGUCGUUGGAUUUAGCAUGGAUGAAAUGCACGUAAUCAAAAUGCGACACGCGCGAUAAAAAUUACAGGAUUUUAAACUUAAUUAUCAUAAAUGAAAUAAAUAGACAGGAAGCAUGAGAAAUUAAAAAGUAACACAAUAGUAAUUCAAUAGUAAUAAUUCAGUAGUUGCUAGAAAUCGAUCAUCAUUAUGCAUAUCAAAUCAUGCUGCCCUAUUAUGUUUAACAGCAGAACCGCGGAUCUAAAUUAACCCAAUCACGGUUCAAAUCAUUAAAUUUGGCAUUCUCUACGAGAUAGGAUUGUCACCAUAAAAGUAAAAUUAAUUACUUGUAAUUAAAUGUGAUUAUUUAUGAAAAAUCACAAAAAUCUAAAACUCUACGUGCAAAUUCAAUUCAUUGAACUGUAAAAGAAAAACUAGAUUAAAAAUCAAAUAGAUUAAAAAUUGGUCACGGUUCUAAUGUUAUCGCAACAUAUUCGUUCUGGUUUAUUUCUUAUAUAUAAUAAGCACUACAUAAUCUCACAUCCAAUUAACGUUUAAAAACCUGCAUCGAUACUAUUAUAAAUGCACGAUACUCCGAUCAAUAUCUAUUCAACUGAAAUUAAUCAAGUUAAAUUAAUCAUAAAUGGAGAAAGAGGAGCGGGAAAAAUACAGGAGACAAAAUGCGAAAUCAAAACAAAUUUGUAAACACAACAAAUCGUUAUAAUCUCUCGUCGCUUACAAAAACGGAAGAAUACGGACCGACGAGUCGAACUAAUCGUCGAUUAAAGAACGAGAGGUUACAUAACCGGAAAAUACAUAAAAAUCACGAAACAUAUUACGAUAAUAAAACGAUAACGAUAAUGGAUCGACUUGGACGAGACGAUCGAACACGAGCAUGUGGUCAGCGUCGAACGGCCAACGCUAAUUGUAAGUAUAACGAGAUUCGGCGCGGCACGUCGUUCGUGCUGCCGCGACUAAUAGCGAAUUCGAUUGAACGCACUCAGCACGCACUGAUGCAUAUUAAGAUAUUACGGCGUGCGCAAAUUGAUGUUAAGUUUAUGUGUUUGAUAUAAAUACUGGAACGAGUUAAUGUAAAUUUAAUAUAAAUAUAAUUAAAUUUAAUAUAUAUAUUUAUUUAAUGUAAGUAUUAUUUAAUAUAAAUAUAAAAUCCUCAAUAUAUUUCAAUAAAAAUGUAUAAUUCCUUGUUGAAUGUAUAAUUCCUGUCCCAGCUACUGAUUGUGCGUGUGAAAUGGAUUUAUUAUAUUAUUAAAUGUUCGUACAUUAUAAUCCACACUUCGGAUCCUUUCCAAUAUACAGUGCUAUCUGAAAUUCGUCCAAAUAUCUUUGAUUAGGUUCAUUAGGUCAUUGAUUAUCAUUGUUACCAGGAAGUAUAAUGACAUAAUCAAAGUGAUAUUUAGACGGAUUUCAGAUAAUACUGUAUAUUGGAAAAGAUCUAAAGCGUGGGUCGAAACAUAUGUGUAUUUAAUAAUAUAAUAAAUCAAUUCCAUACAACCAGUGGUUGGCUCAACAAGGCAUUAUACAUUUGAUUUCUAUCAACUGAGCUUUACGUAUUAUUGCUUCCAUAUUCUCAAUAUAUUUCAUUGUUUUGUUAAGUGAAGUUUUAUAUUAUAAUAUAAUUCGAAAUAUUUGCAUUUCGCUUUUAUUCUCAAAAGGUCAAUCAUGAAACUUUUUUUCCCUAAGACGGAAACGCGAAAAUUGAAAAUUUGUUGUAUGUAAGUGACUAUAUAUGUAUAUGCACAAAUACCUAAAAAGUUUCAACUUUUCACGUUUUCACUCCAGAGUUAAAAAGUUAUGAUCGAUACAUUAAUAAGUAUACAAUUGACUUUAAUAUGUACCAGUACGGACUAUAAGUGCGUUCAACCGGAUUCGCUACAAGUUAAGGAGGGAAGACAAUUAUUUGACAAAUCAUUUUGUACGGGACGCGACUAUUCUCAGUACAAAGUAGAUAACGUAUACGUCUGUACAUACCGUAUUCCGCCACGAGGUGCAACGCCAUCAGGCGUCGCGUUAUCGAUCGCUACCGCGUCACAAUCAUCGACGAGUUUGCUCUUUUCCCGCUCUCUUCGCGCUUCUCCUCUUUUUUUCUCGCCGCCUUCUUUCCUUUUUUCUUUCUCUUUUUCUUUUAUCACGAACAAGCGUUACAAUCAAACGAGCACCCUACGAUGCUACGUUACAAUGUUCUCGAUCGUGAAGCGGAUACGGGAUCGUUGAACGUAAGAUUCGCGCUUCAAUGCAUUUUUUUUUAUUUUUAAAGUAAUACGUUUGCUUCCUACAAAUCAAGACGCUAUCGAUCGCUAAAAGUACAGGUAAAUGUGCAGCGUUGUAAGGCGAGAUUCCUCGGGAUGCGGAGUUCAUCGUCAACUCAGACUAAUAACGCAGGCUUUCUGUAGAAUAUCGUCGUUGCAUCAUAUUUAUACAUACAUUGAGUUUACUCUACUUCAUUGUAGAUUGAGAACUGAUGAUAGCGUCGCUGUUAAAACUGAUAGACGAUUCAAAAAUGCGGCGGCGGCUAUGCAGCGGUAGAAUUCUAAUUUCUUCGUAAUAUCGGUGCAGCCUAAGUGACCGCCAGAAUAUUAUGUCUCUUGCGAACAUUUGAAAUAAAGAAAUUAUAUAUAUGAAUAUAUAUAUAUAUAUAUAUGUAUGCAUAUAUAUGCUUUCUUCAUAGAUAUAUAUCCGUCAAAAGAUUUUUUUUUUCGCUGUCUUCGACACGAAUAGAUCGAAGAGGGACGCAAUGUCGAGGACAAUAGUACGGUCAGGUACAAAGAAUCGUUGUCAAGGAGAUCCUUAUUACACGUGGUGAGCACGAGGGAUUGACGUGACGGAGGGACACGAUAAACACGGAUAAAAGUAGGCAAAAGAUCACCGAUGAACUUGAUGCGGGUAAUGAUCUAACGCUUAGUUUAUCGACAGCGGCGGACGUUUAGACGCUCCAAUUUGAAAUCGGGACUAAAGCAGCUAGUGCAAUAUCUUCUUGACAGAACGGAACGGUACAAUAAGCUGAGCCAAGUCACUACAAUCGUUUGUAGGCCGUUUCAAACUACGCAUACCUUAUAAAUAUACACCUGCGAACUUCGCGGUUACUCUACAACGACAGACACGUCCGUUACGGCCGUUCGCGACGCAGCUCGACGCGUUUCUAUAAAUAUCUAUUUGGCAAAUCUUAAGUGUAGUCGGUACUUCCGAAAGACACCGGCACUAGAGUCGACCACCUUGGCGUUAAGCAUCGAUAAAGAGAUUCUAGAGAGAGAGUGAAAGCGAUCCUCGAAUCAGGGAUCCUUCAUUAAAAACGGAAAAGCAAUGUUCAAGAAAAAAACUAACGUCAAAGCGGUCAAGACUCAAGAUAUAAGAUCGAUAAGAUCUAAACUUAUCUCAUGUAUACACGCAACUGUGUGUAACGUACACGUGUACAUAUGUACGUUACACGAAUGUAGGAAGAAAAACUACACCGAUCAUGUCCCAAGUAAGUAUGUAUGAUAUUCAUCCACAUACAAUACGUGGGAAAAGAUCUCCGAUAAGAUUACAUACAGCGAUUUGAUCUGAUCUAGUCGUAGGACAUAAAUGCACAGGUAAAUCACACGCAAAGUGACUGUAAUCGAGGAAUUGGAUGCAGCGUAAAUAGCUUUGGAAAAAUGUACUUAAAACUUAUACAAUUGGAAAAACAAAGCGACAAAUAAUCUACAGUCACAAUAUUCUGAUAUAAGUAUAAUAAUAUUCAGAUGCAAUAUAUAAUUGUAUAAAGAAUAGCAAUAUGAUUUCCAACUCCUCAAUUGACGGAGAUAACAAAGCUAAAACUUGAAUAAAUAUCAUUGGAAACCUAAUAUAAGAGAAACCUAAUAUAAUUGGAAAUACGCAUUCUAUUUGUUCACUCUUAUCGCUUAUAUCUCAAUUAUCUCAAUAUCGUCAUCAACUAUAUGACUGAGUAUAGUUUAAUUAACGAAAAUAUAUCCAAAAUGAUCGUUUCAAUGCCGUAACCGACAUGAGAGAAAAAUCAAUUAUCUCUAUAUACAUAUAUAUUAAUAUCGCAAACUCGAAAACAAUAACGCAAGUAAAGCUCAUAUUAAAAUCUGCUUCGUUACAGAGAGGCGAAACAUCGAAAAAUUUACGAACGUAUAACAUAUAAACUAUAACUAACAAGAUUCGGGAUAAAAAAACAUUUCAAAAUAAAUAUUAGCACACUGGAUAAAAAAUAUUAAUAUGCGACGAUAGAAAUACAGUGUAUUG